GAUGAACGCUGGCGGCGUGCCUAAUACAUGCAAGUCGAGCGAACAGACGAGGAGCUUGCUUUCUUGACGUUAGCGGCGGACGGGGGAGUAACACGUGGAUAACCCUCCUAUAUGACUGGGAUAACUUCGGGAAACCGGAGCUAAUACCGGAAAAUAUUUUGAACCGCAUGGUUCAAAAGUGAAAGACGGUUUUGCUGUCAAUUAUAGAUGGAUCCGCGCUGCAUUAGCUAGUUGGUAAGGUAACGGCUUACCAAGGCAACGAUGCAUAGCCGACCUGAGAGGGUGAUCGGCCACACUGGAACUGAGACACGGUCCAGACUCCUACGGGAGGCAGCAGUAGGGAAUCUUGCGCAAUGGGCGAAAGCCUGACGGAGCAACGCCGCGUGAGUGAUGAAGGUCUUCGGAUCGUAAAGCUCUGUUAUUAGGGAAGAACAGAUGUGUAAGUAACUAUGCACAUCUUGACGGUACCUAAUCAGAAAGCCACGGCUAACUACGUG
rnacentral:rRNA from 1 species